rnacentral:misc_RNA from 1 species
UCCGGUUUGUCACCGGCAGUCUCAUUAGAGUGCUCAACUUAAUGGAGCAACUAAUGACAAGGGUUGCGCUCGUUGCGGGACUUAACCCAACAUCUCACGACACGAGCUGACGACAGCCAUGCAGCACCUGUGUUCCGGUUCCCUUUCGGGCACACCCGCCUCUCAGCAGGCUUCCGGACAUGUCAAGGGUAGGUAAGGUUUUUCGCGUUGCAUCGAAUUAAUCCACAUAAUCCACCGCUUGUGCGGGUCCCCGUCAAUUCCUUUGAGUUUUAACCUUGCGGCCGUACUCCCCAGGCGGUCGACUUCACGCGUUAGCUUCGUUACUGAGAGUGUCAAACCCCCAACAACCAGUCGACAUCGUUUAGGGCGUGGACUAC